CCUACGGGUGGCAGCAGUCGGGAAUAUUGCAUGAUGGAGGAAACUCUGAUGCAGUGACGCCGCGUGCAGGAAGAAGGUUUUCGGAUUGUAAACUGCUUUAGACAGGGAAGAAACAAGACAGUACCUGUAGAAUAAGCUCCGGAUAACUACGUGCUAGCAGCCGCGGUAAUACGUAGGGAGCAAGCGUUAUCCGGAUUUAUUGGGUGUAAAGGGUGCGUAGACGGGAAUUUAAGUUAGUUGUGAAAUCCCUCGGCUUAACUGAGGAACUGCAACUAAAACUGAAUUUCUUGAGUGCGGGAGCGGAAAAUGGAAUUCCUAGUGUAGCGGUGAAAUGCGGAGAUAUUAGGAGGAACACCAGUGGCGAAGGCGACUUUCUGGACCGUAACUGACGUUGAGGCACGAAAGUGUGGGGAGCAAACAGGAUUAGAUACCCCAGUAGUA
rnacentral:rRNA from 1 species